UGCAAGUCGACGANGCUUCGGCCUUAGUGGCGCACGGGUGCGUAACGCGUGGGAAUCUGCCCUUUGGUUCGGAAUAACAGCUGGAAACGGCUGCUAAUACCGGAUGAUGACGAAAGUCCAAAGAUUUAUCGCCAGAGGAUGAGCCCGCGUUGGAUUAGGUAGUUGGUGGGGUAAAGGCCUACCAAGCCGACGAUCCAUAGCUGGUCUGAGAGGAUGAUCAGCCACACUGGGACUGAGACACGGCCCAGACUCCUACGGGAGGCAGCAGUGGGGAAUAUUGGACAAUGGGCGAAAGCCUGAUCCAGCAAUGCCGCGUGAGUGAUGAAGGCCCUAGGGUUGUAAAGCUCUUUUACCCGGGAAGAUAAUGACCGUACCGGGAGAAUAAGCCCCGGCUAACUCCGUGCCAGCAGCCGCGGUAAUACGGAGGGGGCUAGCGUUGUUCGGAAUUACUGGGCGUAAAGCGCACGUAGGCGGCUUUGUAAGUCAGAGGUGAAAGCCUGGAGCUCAACUCCAGAACUGCCUUUGAGACUGCAUCGCUUGAAUCCAGGAAAGGUCAGUGGAAUUCCGAGUGUAGAGGUGAAAUUCGUAGAUAUUCGGAAGAACACCAGUGGCGAAGGCGGCUGACUGGACUGGUAUUGACGCUGAGGUGCGAAAGCGUGGGGAGCAAACGGGAUUAGAUACCCUGGUAGUCCACGCCGUAAACGAUGAUAACUAGCUGUCCGGGUACUUGGUGCUUGGGUGGCGCAGCUAACGCAUUAAGUUAUCCGCCUGGGGAGUACGGCCGCAAGGUUAAAACUCAAAGGAAUUGACGGGGGCCUGCACAAGCGGUGGANCAUGUGGUUUAAUUCGAAGCAACGCGCAGAACCUUACCAGCGUUUGACAUGUCCGGACGAUUUCCAGANAUGGAUCUCUUCCCUUCGGGGACUGGNACACNG
rnacentral:rRNA from 1 species